rnacentral:rRNA from 1 species
UACGUAGGUGGCAAGCGUUGUCCGGAUUUACUGGGCGUAAAGAGCGCGCAGGCGGUCGUUCAAGUCGCGUGUGAAAGCCCCCGGCUCAACUGGGGAGGGUCACGCGAUACUGAUCGACUCGAAGGCAGGAGAGGGUAGUGGAAUUCCAGGUGUAGCGGUGAAAUGCGUAGAUAUCUGGAGGAACACCGGUGGCGAAGGCGGCAUUCUGGACCGAUAUUGACGCUGAGGAGCGAAAGCCAGGGGAGCAAACGGG